UGUCAGUGAAAAGGUACAAGUGUCCAGUUAGAAAUGAAAAAGUUCUGGGAAUCUAAUCUACAGCAUGGUGACUAUAGUCAACAACACUACAUUGUGUACUGAAAGUUGCUAAGAGAGUAAAUCUUAAAUGUUCUCACCACGAAAAAGAAAUGGUAAUCAUACAAGGUAAUGGAACUGUUAAUUGAGGCUAUGGUAAUAAUCAUUUUGCAAUAUAUGUCAAAUCAAUACCUUGUACACCUUAAACUGACACAAUGUUAUAUGUCAAUUACAGCUCAGUAAAGCUGGAAAAACCCAAACAAAAUGAGUUUUCAAUUCCACUUUUUUGGGGGGAAGGCAGCAUCGCCUCCUAGUGGCUGUAUCAAGAAUGGCAACGUUGAUCAAUCUUCAGGACUGCGUAGCAUUAGGCCCCUGCAAGUCCCAGGUUCUCCAGGGAACCAGGAGGUCCUGCUUGAAGCCCUGCGUGCUGCUGCCCCCUAGUGCGUAUCUCUUAACUUAGACAAAAGACCCUGUGGACAGAGCAUCGUGUGAUGGGAACCGAAAUUACCCCUUCAAGCAAUAAGCACCGCCCUGUGCCAGCAAGACCCUGUGAUCGAUCCCAAGAUGAUGACCGAUCUGACCUUUACUGCCCACCUGCACAUACCCAGCAACUUUGUCUCACAUUUUCCUUAUAUAAACCUAGAAGUAUUUCCAGCACCUUGGACAGGCUGUGUGACAUUAGUCCACUGUUGUCCCAGUGCUGGCCUCACUGAAAUACAUUCCUUUCUUGUUUCACCACC